GCGGCACGCCUAACACAUGCAAGUCGAACGAAGUAGCAAUACUUAGUGGCAGACGGGUGAGUAACAUGUAGGUAUCUGCCCUUUGGCCUGGAAUAACACGAGGAAACUUGUGCUAAUACCGGAUAAGUCUUUACGGAGAAAGCUUUAUGCACCAUUGGAUGAGCCUGCACUUGAUUAGUUUGUUGGUGGGGUAAUGGCCUACCAAGACUGUGAUCAAUAGCUGAUUUGAGAGGAUGAUCAGCCACAUUGGGANUGAGACACGGCCCAAACUCCUACGGGAGGCAGCAGUGGGGAAUCUUGCACAAUGGAGGAAACUCUGAUGCAGCGAUGCCGCGUGAGUGAAGAAGGCCUUUGGGUUGUAAAGCUCUUUCGUCGGGGAAGAAAAUGACUGUACCCGAAUAAGAAGGUCCGGCUAACUUCGUGCCAGCAGCCGCGGUAAUACGAAGGGACCUAGCGUAGUUCGGAAUUACUGGGCUUAAAGAGUUCGUAGGUGGUUGAAAAAGUUGGUGGUGAAAUCCCAGAGCUUAACUCUGGAACUGCCAUCAAAACUUUUCAGCUAGAGUAUGAUAGAGGAAAGCAGAAUUUCUAGUGUAGAGGUGAAAUUCGUAGAUAUUAGAAAGAAUACCAAUUGCGAAGGCAGCUUUCUGGAUCAUUACUGACACUGAGGAACGAAAGCAUGGGUAGCGAAGAGGAUUAGAUACCCUCGUAGUCCAUGCCGUAAACGAUGUGUGUUAGACGUUGGAAAUUUAUUUUCAGUGUCGCAGGAAAACCGAUAAACACACCGCCUGGGGAGUACGACCGCAAGGUUAAAACUCAAAUGAAUUGACGGGGACCCGCACAAGUAGUGGAGCAUGUGGUUUAAUUCGAAGAUACGCGCAGAACCUUACCAACACUUGACAUGUUCGUCGCGACUCUAAGAGAUUAGAGUUUUCGGUUCGGCCGGACGAAACACAGGUGCUGCAUGGCUGUCGUCAGCUCGUGUCGUGAGAUGUUGGGUUAAGUCCCGCAACGAGCGCAACCCUCACUUUUAGUUGCCAUCAUUAAGUUGGGCACUCUGAAAGAACUGCCAGUGAUAAGCUGGAGGAAGGUGGGGAUGACGUCAAGUCCUCAUGGCCCUUACGUGUUGGGCUACACACGUGCUACAAUGGUAUCUACAACAGGAAGCAAAACUGCGAAGUUAAGCAAAUCCCUAAAAGAUACCUCAGUUCGGAUUGCACUCUGCAACUCGAGUGCAUGAAGCUGGAAUUACUAGUAAUCGUGGAUCAGCGUGCCACGGUGAAUGCGUUCCCGGGUCUUGUACACACCGCCCGUCACACCAUGGGAGUUGGUUCUACCUUAAG
rnacentral:rRNA from 1 species